UACAGAGGGGGCAAGCGUUGUUCGGAAUUACUGGGCGUAAAGGGCGCGUAGGUGGCCUUCUUAGUCAGACGUGAAAUCCCCAGGCUUAACCUGGGAACUGCGUCUGAUACUGGAAGGCUCGAGUUCGGGAGAGGAAUGUGGAAUUCCAGGUGUAGCGGUGAAAUGCGUAGAUAUCUGGAGGAACACCGGUGGCGAAGGCGGCAUUCUGGGCCGAAACUGACGCUGAGGCGCGAAAGCCAGGGGAGCAAACGGG
rnacentral:rRNA from 1 species